rnacentral:rRNA from 1 species
AACGAACGCUGGCGGCAUGCCUAACACAUGCAAGUCGAACGAACCCUUCGGGAUGAGUGGCGCACGGGUGCGUAACACGUGGGAACCUGCCCUUAGGUUCGGAAUAACACAGAGAAAUUUGUGCUACUACCGGAUAAUGUCUUCGGACCAAAGAUUUAUCGCCUUUGGAUGGGCCCGCGUAGGAUUAGCUAGUUGGUGAGGUAAAGGCUCACCAAGGCGACGAUCCUUAGCUGGUCUUAGAGGAUGAUCAGCCACACUGGGACUGAGACACGGCCCAGACUCCUACGGGAGGCAGCAGUGGGGAAUAUUGGACAAUGGGCGAAAGCCUGAUCCAGCAAUGCCGCGUGAGUGAUGAAGGCCUUAGGGUUGUAAAGCUCUUUUACCUGGGAUGAUAAUGACAGUACCAGGAGAAUAAGCCCCGGCUAACUCCGUGCCAGCAGCCGCCGCAGUAA